UAGUUCUCCAGUUCAUUCUACCCGAGUCACUCUCUCUGUAUCUCAGCUCAGUCUCCUCUCGCUCUCUCUCUCUUCUCCAUUCCUUUUAACUCCUCCAUCAGCAGUCAUGAGUUACAGACCGUCCAGCAGCCACACCUCUUUCCACCGCUCCGCGCCCGUGUCCUCCUACCGGGCCGCCAGCACCUAUGGCGGGGCCGGAGGCCAGGGCACCCGCAUUUCCUCCACAGCCUACGGGGGCCUCCGCAGUGGUGCCCCGGCCAGCUCCUCCUCCUACUCCACAUCCUCCUUUAAGGUGAGCGGCGGUGGUAUGGGCAUGGGUGGUGGCAUGGGCGCCGCUAUGGGUUUGGGCAUGGGUGGUCUGAUCAAGACGACGGCGGCAGGUGGUGGCGGUGGUCACGUCAUGGGAAACGAGAAGGGGGCCAUGCAGAACCUGAACGACCGUCUGGCCAACUACCUGGAGACGGUGAGGAACCUGGAACAGGCCAACGGACAGCUGGAGAUGAAGAUUCGAGAGGCCCUGGAGAAGGGAGGACCAGACGCCCGCGACUACAGCAAGUACAGCCCUAUACUGGACGACCUGCGCAAGAAGGUCUUUGAUGCGACAGCGGACAAUGCUAGCCUUGUGCUCCAAAUCGAUAAUGCCCGCUUAGCUGCAGAUGACUUCAAAGUAAAGUUUGAAUCUGAGAAUGGCAUUCGCCAGUCAGUGGAGGCAGACAUUGCCGGGCUGAAGAAGGUCAUCGAUGACACCAACAUGGGCAGGAUGAACGCGGAGAGUGAGAUCGAGGCUGUGAAGGAGGAGCUCAUCUUCCUCAGGAAGAACCAUGACAAUGAAGUGAUGGAGAUGAGGAACCAGAUCACUCAGUCGGGGGUGCAGGUGGACGUGGACGCCCCCAAGGGUCAGGACAUGUCACUGGUCAUGGACGAGAUGAGGGCCAAGUACGAGAAGAUGGCUCUGAAGAACGCAGAGGACCUCAAAGUGUGGCACGAAAACCAGAUCUCAGACGUGCAGGUGCAGGUAUCACAGAACACAGAGGCCCUGCAGGGGGCCCAGGUUGAGAUGAGUGACCUACAUAGACAGCUACAGACCCUCGAGAUUGAGCUGGCGUCCCAACAAAGCUUAAAAUCCUCCUUAGAGGACACCUUGCAUAACGUGGAGAUGCGUUCCAACAUGGAGGUGGAGAAGUACAAUGCCAUCCUCAUCCGUCUGGAGGGCGAGCUGACCAACCUGCGGGGCAACAUCCAGCAUCAGGGCCAGGAGUAUGAGGCGCUGCUCAACAUGAAGAUGAAGCUGGAGGCCGAGAUCGCCACCUACAGGAGCCUGCUCGACGGAGGGGACUUCAAGUGAGUGGACGAGAAGAUGAGGGAGAUUGGUCCAAUCCUAAAUCAACCCAUAGACCAAUUAGAUAGGCUCCAAGACGCUAUGGAUGACCUGAAACCCUAAGGGUAUGAGGCGGGACAAAAGUGAUGACCAACUGUCAACUUCAUGGAGAGAGAUACCCACAGACACAGAGGAGUCAAACACAUCAACCCAUGUCAUAAAAAUAAAACCUUGAUGCAAUGGUUUAUCAUUUAA